rnacentral:misc_RNA from 1 species
GGUUACAGAGUCCCGCGAUCUGAAAGAAGGAGAUUGUUCGGUGUUUGUGCACUGUUGUUGAGUGUUGGGUCGCAUUGAUACUAUUUACGUGCGUCAAUAUCUUCAAGCUGCUGACAUGGCGACAGAGGAGGCGAGAAACGUGGUCAUAGCCGUAGAUGACAGCGAAUUCUCGGAAUAUGCAUUCGACUUCUAUGUGCAGAAUGUGCAUCACCCCGGCGACAACAUCACGCUCGUCCAUUGCUCGGAGUACGCAUCGCUCAUCCAUGCACCAGCCUUGCUGACCGAUCCAGUAGUUGUGGCAGAGCUGAUUAAAGAGGAAGAGGUCAAGGUCAAACACCUAGUGGAGAAAUACAGUGAGAAGAUGAAGAAAAUACAUGUGGGCGGCAAGGUCAAACAGAUGACUGGCAAGGUCGGGGAGGCAAUUGUCGAGGCUGCCAAGGGAGAGAAUGCUGCAAUGAUCGUUGUCGGGACUCGGGGCAUGGGGAAGAUUAGAAGAACGUUUCUGGGCAGCGUCAGCGACUACUGUCUACAUCACUCACCAGUGCCGGUACUUGUGUGCCGGCAUAAACCAGUGUCCGAACACAAGAAAUAGGUCAUCAAGUCCUAAUAUGGGCAUGUAAUCAAGUACUCAUGUUUCCCAAUUAAAAAGCAGAAUACACUACUAUGAAGAGAGUCAAUGCAAAAACUACUUAGAAAGUAAAUAGGGCUGGGUGAUGGUUUGAAACAAGUAAUAGGACCACGCCCAUAUGUUGUGAGAUUUAAAUAAGUGUGCGUCCACCAAAUGUCAUAUCUUGUGAAGUGAUCAAAGUCUGUAGUCCCAAGGCACCUACUCCAUUCACAGAUGUGAGCCAGUCACACGAACAGGUUGUCUGUGAUCUGGUGUGACACACACACACACAAGCUUGUCACACAUUCAUGUGGUCUGUGAUCUGGUGUGACAGACACAAGUUUGUCACACAUCCAGGAUGUCUGUGAUCUGGUGUGACAGACACAAGUUUGCCACACAUCCAGGAUGUCUGUGAUCUGGUUUGACAGACACAAGUUUGCCACACAUCCAGGUGGUCUGUGAUCUGGUGUGACAGACACAAGUUUGUCACACAUCCAGGAUGUCUGUGAUCUGGUGUGACAGACACAAGUUUGCCACACAUCCAGGAUGUCUGUGAUCUGGUGUGACAGACACAAGUUUGCCACACAUCCAGGUGGUCUGUGAUCUGGUGUGACAGACACAAGUUUGUCACACAUCCAGGAUGUCUGUGAUCUGGUGUGACAGACACAAGUUUGCCACACAUCCAGGAUGUCUGUGAUCUGGUGUGACAGACACAAGUUUGCCACACAUCCAGGAUGUCUGUGAUCUGGUGUGACAGACACAAGUUUGCCACACAUCCAGGAUGUCUGUGAUCUGGUGUGACAGACACAAGUUUGCCACACAUCCAGGAUGUCUGUGAUCUGGUGUGACAGACACAAGUUUGUCACACAUCCAGGAUGUCUGUGAUCUGGUGUGACAGACACAAGUUUGCCACACAUCCAGGAUGUCUGUGAUCUGGUGUGACAGACACAUGUUUGUCACACAUGCAGGUGGUCUGUGAUCUGGUGUGACAGACACAAGUUUGUCACACAUCCAGGAUGUCUGUGAUCUGGUGUGACAGACACAAGUUUGCCACACAUCCAGGUGGUCUGUGAUCUGGUGUGACAGACACAAGUUUGUCACACAUCCAGGAUGUCUGUGAUCUGGUGUGACAGACACAAGUUUGCCACACAUCCAGGAUGUCUAUGAUCUGGUGUGACAGACACAAGUUUGCCACACAUCCAGGAUGUCUGUGAUCUGGUGUGACAGACACAAGUUUGCCACACAUCCAGGAUGUCUGUGAUCUGGUGUGACAGACACAAGUUUGCCACACAUCCAGGAUGUCUGUGAUCUGGUGUGACAGACACAAGCUUGUCACACAUCCAGGAUGUCUGUGAUCUGGUGUGACAGACACAGGUUUGCCACACAUCCAGGAUGUCUGUGAUCUGGUGUGACAGACACAGGUUUGCCACACAUCCAAGUGGUCUGUGAUCUGGUGUGACAGACACACGUUUGUCACACAUGUAGGUGGUCUGUGAUCUGGUGUGACAGACACAAGUUUGUCACACAUCCAGGAUGUCUGUGAUCUGGUGUGACAGACACAAGUUUGCCACACAUCCAGGUGAUCUGUGAUCUGGUGUGACAGACACAAGUUUGCCACACAUCCAGGAUGUCUGUGAUCUGGUGUGACAGACACAAGUUUGUCACACAUCCAGGAUGUCUGUGAUCUGGUGUGACAGACACAAGUUUGUCACACAUCCAGGUGGUCUGUGAUAUGGCUUGGUAUUCUCGCUCCAAUCAGAGUUACUUGUUUGCUCCGUUUGACAAUCAAGGCUAAACAAAGGAGGCAAUGCCUGGUAUAUCCCCCUGCAAAUGUCUAGCCAUUCUGGGAUUCAUUGAGCAAUGCUCCUUUGGAAGUUCAAAUAUAAUCUGAGAGCCGAAGUAUUUUCAAAAUGAAGUGUGCAAAAAACACAGAAAAAAACACGAAAUCCAAUCAAGACGACAAGACAGUUAUAAUGUGAAGUUGAUAUUUUCAUUCACGAGACACUCAUGGACUGUUCUUUUGUUUCCUGCAGAGUUGUGCCCCUUUGACAUGUCAGAAUCCUAUGAUUGUGGGUUUGAGCCCAAGAUUUGCCCUUUGUAUGACCCCUGUUUGUCAGCACACCCGUGCUUCAAGGUGUAUGCCGCCUCACUUGCCACAUGCUCACUUUCCAUUAUCUGAAGACUGAAAUAUGUUUUGUGUAUGUAGAUUGCUCGGUUAGCCCUUCACUGUUUCUAGGAUAAAUAUUCUUGUCUUGAGUACAUCCAGUCAAAAGUAAGCUUGCUAGUUUUCUAGUUGUAUGUUGUGUUCAGAGUUGGAUUGAAAUCAGUGUUGUCUGGCAGCAUCCAUCUUUUUCUUUCUGAAUCUCGGGGCGGUCAGGUAGCCUAGUGUUUGAAGCAUUCGCUCGUCACUCUGAAAACCCGGGUUUGAUUCCCGACAUGGGUACAAUGCGUGAAGCCCAUUUCUUGUGUCCCAUGCUGUGAUAUUGCUGGAAUAUUGCUAAAAGCGGCAUAAAACCAUAUUCACUCACUCACUCACUUUCUGAAUCUCAUUUUAUACACAAUUUAGAGAACUUCAGACAAUAUUUAGUUUGUCUAUUGCUUGUCAAAUCCAAUGAUGUCUUUCUGUCAUGGCCAAUGCAAUCUCUGUUUAAAUGUACUUAAGUGAACAUUAUUUUGCUCAGCUGAAAGCAUUGCUGUGAUUAUGAAGGAAUUGAUUUAUUGAAUUUUUGCCCCAAAUUAUGAUUGAAUACAAUAUUGUAUCAUGAUUUCAGUAUUACUUAAACUGUUAAACUGCCAGCUUCAUGGCACCCACGUCCUAAGGUGAUGAUGCUGGUCUGACUUACAAAGAGCAGCAGGAUCACCGUGACGAAUGUCUACAGACUAUCACUGUUUUUGAGUUGGUCUUCUUGAAUGACUCUGUCCCAUUCCUUGAAGCUAUGUAAUGUCUACAGACUAUCACUGUUACUGAGUUGGUCUUCUUGAAUGACUCUGUCCCAUUCCUUGAAGCUAUGUAAUGUCUUCAGAUUAUCACUGUUACUGAGUUGGUCUUGAAUGACUCUGUCCCAUUCCUUGAAGCUAUGUAAUGUCUUCAGUCUAUCACUGUUUCUGAGUUGGUCUUCUUGAAUGACUCUGUCCCAUUCCUUGAAGCUAUGUAAUGUCUUCAGAUAAUCACUGUUUCUGAGUUGGUCUUCUUGAAUGACUCUGUCCCAUUCCUUGAAGCUAUGUAAUGUCUACAGAUUAUCACUGUUUCUGAGUUGGUCUUCUUGAAUGACUCUGUCCCAUUCCUUGAAGCUAUGUAAUGUCUUCAGAUAAUCACUGUUUCUGAGUUGGUCUUCUUGAAUGACUCUGUCCCAUUCCUUGAAGCUAUGUAAUGUCUUCAGAUUAUCACUGUUUCUGAGUUGGUCUUCUUGAAUGACUCUGUCCCAUUCCUUGAAGCUAUGUAAUGUCUACAGAUUAUCACUGUUUCUGAGUUGGUCUUCUUGAAUGACUCUGUCCCAUUCCUUGAAGCUAUGUAAUGUCUACAGAUUAUCACUGUUUCUGAGUAGGUCUUCUUGAAUGACUCUGUCCCAUUCCUUGAAGCUAUGUAAUAAGGAGCCAUGCUGCUCGUUGUGAAAGGCGACUGGACUGGGUGAAUGUAAUCAGGUGGUGUGGCUCCGUUGAUUGUGUGUCUUGUCUUACCUGAGGUGAGAUGAGGUGAGGUGUUGAUCUGACCUCACCCACUGGUCUUUGUACCUUGUACCAUCUGUGUCUAUAUCUUGUCAGCAAAUCUGUAUCUGUACCUAUGCUGCUGUAAGAAACAAGAGAAAUAACUGGAGAGGAAAUGAACAAGAAAUUGAGUAUCUCAUGUACAUAGUUAUAGAACAAAAAUGUUGGAUUUGGAUGUAUUUCUCAUUUCUUGCUUUGUUGAUAUUUACUUUAUUAUUAUGUAUUGUGCUUCACAUCACCUGAUUUAUGCAACCAAUAUAUUGAAUCUAUCUACAUCCCUAAAUAAUCAUCAGUCAGUAAUAUAUUAUGUUUCAAGUCCCAUAGACCUCCCCCAUCAUCUCCCCCCCUGUCCUUCAACCCCCACUUUAAACACUGCAUCUUCCUGAGGCAGGGCGUUAACUGACUAUCAAAGUCCGACUUGAUCGUCGUGCCACCAGCGGCUGUUACGUGUUAUGUUACCUUCAAUGUCCCUUCUAUGUCCCUCCUAUUGACCAAUUAGAUUCCAUCUCUGAUAUCACUUGCAUUUUCUUCAAACAAAAUGGCGGCACCCAGUCAAGUCGAUCUGAUCGAUAAUCAAGAUCUAAAAUUGUAAUAAAACGGGUCCUAGUAGGUCUUCCUUGAUUGUAAACCAUAUGUGUUAUCAAGGCUUUGACAUUAGGACAUGGACUUACAAUGCCUCACAUGGGUGGACAUGGACUUACAAUGCCUCACAUGGGAGGACAUGGACUUACAAUGCCUCACAUGGGAGGAUUAUGUUUAAAAUAGACUCAAACAUUGUGUAUUUAUCAGCUUUUCAGUACGGUUCAAUAAAUUGCCUCACCAAA